GAGCGUCUGGAUCGUUUCAUUACAAAGUGGGCGUGUCAUGUGAUUGAAAUCCUGAGUUCUGUGUUGCAGAGAAGUCAGGAUUGUAUGGUUACAGAAAUAACAUCACUUGUGACCCAAUCGUCUACCCACUGAAGGUUGUGAAAAUAAGAGUAGAUUUAGCACAGGAUUUGAUGGUCUGUAUGAGAACGUUGUGAAAUGUUGAAUUGAACUGGAAGUGGGAUUUUUUAGGGUUUUGAUCCGAGUUGUAGGACACUCAUGUAUGCUGACAGCAGCACACCCUUCCGAACUGUUUCGGUACCCGAAAAGAAUACAUGAGUCGGAAAAAGAAGUUGGAGCUCUUCAACGUCUAUAAUGUUCCAAAAAGCUGGCUACCUGGGAAAUUCAAAGCAGCACUUCUAACUGCCUGACUGCCACAAUUGAUGGAGGCAAGAUCUGGAAUCACAAAAAACUAGGAUCCCCAUGGAGAUGGUUUGUGCUUCAACGCAUACGAAAAGUUAAGCACUUGAGACCAGAGAGUACUCUACCAUCGCAGGUGGAGAUUGUAGGUCCAGAUAUGAAACGUGGAUUGCACCGCUGGUUUCUGCAUGCUUCAUCCAAAAUUAUCAGGGUUGCAGCUGUAGCGCCACCGACGUGGACGUAGGCCUGUAUGCUUGGGAUCUUCUUCAUGUCUGUUCUCGAAUUGCAUGAGGCCCCCGCUCUAUCCAGGCUUUAUUUCCACACCAUGGACUGCACAUGAAGUGUUGGUUGCGACGAGGUUUCCACGCUGUCAGAUCUCCGAAAUGGCAUCCAUGUGGCCGCCUGGUUUCUCUUUUCUGCUUGCCAUAAGAUGGCCCCUCAUCUCGUGAUCACGAAAACGAUCUCCAAGCUCACUUUUGCAGCGAACCUGAAGCUUUUGUUAUAUAACUGAAGAUGUACUUUAGCCUUGGUGAGCAGCUUUGAUUCAAGCCAGAGCGUCGCUUUCGGUGCUGUGCCCGAGACAAUUUGGUUCACUCAACCACGCCCUCAUGUUCAUAUCUUUUGAAGAAACGCUGAGCUCUAUCGGCUGCCCAUCAUUGAAGCAAAUGAUAUGCUAUCCCUCGCGAAGCAACGAAUGAACUGGGACAUGAAGCCACCCCUGAUCAGUAUGUGGCUCGUUUGCAAUGCAUGGAAUGAGAGGAUUGUACAUUGUUUAUUUCAUGCAACUGAUUCUCCCUGGGAAGCACUUAUUGUGUGACUGCUUUUGCACCAUCUGGUGUAACUGAGUAAAUGAUCUUUUUCUAACUCUUGCGCUCAAAUCCUAGCGUGUAAACAUAUCGCCAAUUUCUCAGAUUCGACAGACGCAAGUGACAAUUUCCAAUGGUCGGAAACCUGACAAAAACAAGGACCUCGGUGUCGACAUCAGAAUUCAGAAGCCGAUGAACCCACGACGUGAUGUUUGGCGGUGAUUUUACAGCUGCUUUUUUCCAUGUCCUUGCUCUUCGAGGCGAAGCUUUCGAACAAAGGACAACAAACUCACUAAGCACCCCUGAUGUUUUUACAGCGUCAAACCAUGGAUAUAAUGUGUGAUUCUUUUAACGAAUUAAUUUUGAUCAUUCAAAAAAGUUCAUGUGUGCAGUAUGUUUCUUUUUAAAUACACCCUUCAUGGGCUUCCAGACUGCCAAAGUUUGCAGCUAGGGAUGGAUCAGAGAAAAGGGGAUUCGCCAUAGAUGGAGGUUUGUUGCGAUGCUUAUGUCUCAUAUGCGUCUUUCACAAGAACAUGAAGAAAUAACGCCACAUAAUACCUGGAAAAAGAGAGUGAGUAUCCCCAUCAAGUGCCUUCGAUUUGAUUGUAGUGCCAUGUUCCUACGCAGUCUGAUAUCAUUCCACAUUGUCCCAUGUUAGUGGCUUUGCAUCCCGGCAUGUAUCCAAAAGGGUCCAGAGAAAUAGUUGAAAUAAUAAAGAGUUACUCAUGCAAAGCUCCCAAUAA